UACGUAGGGUGCAAGCGUUAAUCGGAAUUACUGGGCGUAAAGCGUGCGCAGGCGGUUAUAUAAGACAGUUGUGAAAUCCCCCGGGCUCAACCUGGGAAUGGCAAUGGAUACUGGCAAGCUAGAGUGUGAUAGAGGAUGGUGGAAUUCCCGGUGUAGCGGUGAAAUGCGUAGAGAUCGGGAGGAACAUCAGUGGCGAAGGCGGCCAUCUGGAUCAACACUGACGCUGAGGCACGAAAGCGUGGGGAGCAAACAGGG
rnacentral:rRNA from 1 species